CCUCUCGAACCCACCCACUCCUCUCUCCCAUCGUGCUCCUUCAUCCAAUCCCCGCAACUUUCCCCACCAAUCCGCCGCCGCACCACCUGCGUCCUCACCCAACCGCCGCACCACCUGCGUCCUCACCCAACCGCCGCACCACAUGCCUUCCCACCCCGCCGCCAGCCCGGGCUCGCGCCGGCCCGUCGCCUCUCACCUCCAACCGCACCUCCUUGCCGGCCGUUGCGCCUUGUCCCCCUUCUCGGCGCAGGAGUGCCCUCUUUCCUCCCCAUGUCAGAGCACCCCUGCCACCUUCUCCCCGUGGCGCGCCGCCCCUCCACGCGACGGCCUCAACUCCUCCGUCGAGCAUGGGUCCUUCCUACCGUGCAGGCACCUCGCAAGGGCCUAGAUCCGGCGACACCCGAGGCGUCCCCAGCGAGGUAGACUCCCGGCGAUGGAUCCGGACAGGCAUCCGCCACCAGCACGGCCACAACGGCCGAUUUUCAUGUGUGCGGCGUCCCGUCCAACCAUGACAUGCGUCGUCCCCUCGGCCCCCAAGGCGCCACCGUCGCCGACACCGUCGCGCCGCUGGGGGAGGGCCAGGUCCGUCGCGCCCGCAAAGAGCUCACUGACCUUCAUCUUUCUCAUGCUCGCUGACAAGGACGUCGGUAGCGGUGACCAGGGCAGUUUCUCCUUCGACCGGGUGUGAAGUGCAUCCCGUCCCAUGCAGUCCACUUCCAGGCAACAGCUCACGGAGCAACACCGAUUAUCCCAGGCAACAACUUAUUUUGUUUGUCUAUACUAAUGAAGUUCAUUUUAUUCUACACAGGCAACAGCUCAUGGAGCAACACCGAUUAUCCCAUUAGGUGUGCAAUUCUUGUUUGCAGAGAAAGAGGUGCUCGGUGGAAGAAGAACAAGAAGAAUGGCCAGCCACCAAACCAGAGGGAUAGCACCGCAGACUCCUCAAAUCAAUUCUGCAUGUGUGCAAAAAAAGACCUCACCACCACCACAAGAUGGAGCCGACGGGGGCAGCAUGCAAUCCUUCUGGCGAUGGCGUGUAGUUUUGUGACUCGUUUAGUACACGCAUGCCCUUGGUAUACGCCACGGGUCCUCCCAGGCCCCGAUGCUGGCGACGAUGUCAACGGCAGCCCCUCUGUGCAGUUCAUGCGACGCACCCGUGCGGUGCGGAACGUAUUUGCAUGCAGUUCUCUUCCUCGCGCAUGCAUGUAGUAGGGUCCAAUGGUUGUGUAGUUCACCGCUGGGUGGUGCUCCAAUGCAGUUAGAUCGCAGGUGGUGUUCACCAAUUUCGCCUCCCCCACGACCUCGUCACUUCACACUACCGACAUGGGCAUGCAGCUCACUAUCUAGACAAAGUGAAACUGAAGUUCACAAAAAAAUAUGAUUGAAGUUCGCAAAAAAUGGGUUAGAGAAAGUUGUUAAAAAAGUAAGAUGUUCGUACAGUUCACUUGAUCAAUUCAAGACAAAGUCUUGUCGAUUUAGAAUUUGGCUUCCUUCUUGUGUGCGCCAGCCAAAGAAUUUUAGUGCGUAAUAAUAUACUUUUUGUUUCAGUCCAUGGAGCUGACUGUCAGAUUUGUGCUUCUCUAUCUUUGUUUUCUCUUUGUUAUGCAGAAACCGAUGGAAAGGAUUUCUGGGCUGGUGCUCAUCAAUCUUGGGUGACUCAUUUCAGAUGCUCCUUGGGGGUGAUCUCACUCCCCUAUAAAAUCUUCAUGGUUUCUUUGUACGGCUAUGGAAAUUCUCCAUCAAACCACUCGGCUUCAGAUAAAAAGAGUACAUAUGCGCACAUUUCUUCUGACUGAGAUCAAGAGAUGGUGGUGCGAAAAGAGGUUGGAUUAUGGAUCUCGCGACCACCAGGUUCCCGCCAUGCCACGCGAUCCAAGCUUUGCUCGGGUACAUACACACAUUUGGGCAUUGGAGAUUAUGCAUUAAAGUGAGCUUGCAGUGCACUAGCUCAUCGUGUGAUGAAGAAACAGGUGUCUCGUAUGCUGAAUUUGAUGUGUCCUGUGUGUACUGUUUGUGUAAAAAGAACAAUGUUUCAUUAUUCCUCUGUAUGAAGUGCAAUUUGUUUCGUGUGGAUCAAAAUUCAGUCAACUACAUCAACACCUGUAGUGUGUUUGGUCCU